UACAGAGGGUGCAAGCGUUGUUCGGAAUUAUUGGGCGUAAAGCGCGUGUAGGCGGUGAUGCAUGUCGGGUGUGAAAGCCCCCAGCUCAACUGGGGAAGUGCGCCCGAAACUGCAUCGCUAGAGUGUCGGAGAGGGUGGCGGAAUUCCCGGUGUAGAGGUGAAAUUCGUAGAUAUCGGGAGGAACACCAGUGGCGAAGGCGGCCACCUGGACGAACACUGACGCUGAGACGCGAAAGCGUGGGUAGCAAACAGG
rnacentral:rRNA from 1 species